GACGAACGCUGGCGGCGUGCCUAAUACAUGCAAGUAGAACGCUGAAGGAGGAGCUUGCUUCUCUGGAUGAGUUGCGAACGGGUGAGUAACGCGUAGGUAACCUGCCUGGUAGCGGGGGAUAACUAUUGGAAACGAUAGCUAAUACCGCAUAAGAGUAGAUGUUGCAUGACAUUUGCUUAAAAGGUGCAGUUGCAUCACUACCAGAUGGACCUGCGUUGUAUUGGCUAGUUGGUGGGGUAACGGCUCACCAAGGCGACGAUACAUAGCCGACCUGGGAGGGUGAUCGGCCACACUGGGAAUGAGACACGGCCCAGAAUCCUACGGGAGGCAGCAGUAGGGAAUCUUCGGCAAUGGACGGAAGUCUGACCGAGCAACGCCGCGUGAGUGAAGAAGGUUUUCGGAUCGUAAAGCUCUGUUGUAAGAGAAGAACGAGUGUGAGAGUGGAAAGUUCACACUGUGACGGUAUCUUACCAGAAAGGGACGGCUAACUACGUG
rnacentral:rRNA from 1 species